GCGUCGGUAGUUCAAGUGGUUAAGAACGCACUCCUGAAAAGGGUGUAAAUGUGGGUUCGAGUUCAGCCUAACCUCGAAGUA